rnacentral:rRNA from 1 species
GUCGCCUCCUAAAAGGUAACGGAGGCGCUCAAAGGUUCCCUCAGAAUGGUUGGAAAUCAUUCAUAGAGUGUAAAGGCAUAAGGGAGCUUGACUGCGAGACCUACAAGUCGAGCAGGGUCGAAAGACGGACUUAGUGAUCCGGUGGUUCCGCAUGGAAGGGCCAUCGCUCAACGGAUAAAAGCUACCCCGGGGAUAACAGGCUUAUCUCCCCCAAGAGUUCACAUCGACGGGGAGGUUUGGCACCUCGAUGUCGGCUCAUCGCAUCCUGGGGCUGUAGUCGGUCCCAAGGGUUGGGCUGUUCGCCCAUUAAAGCGGUACGCGAGCUGGGUUCAGAACGUCGUGAGA